rnacentral:tRNA from 1 species
ACAAGCAUCGUUAAAUGGUUAGGAUGUCUGCCUUCCAAGCAGAGAAUGUCGGUUCGAGUCCGACUGCUUGUACCGUAUGAGAGAAUGCUACGU